CUUUGCUGCAUUACAUAUAGUGAGGAGGAUAUAAUUGAACCUCCUUAUGGUAAACACCCGUCUUUGGACUCUGAUGAAUGUCAUAAAGAACCAGAGGUUCUUGAACAAAAAAUUGAAAUUAAAAAAACUGAUUAUGUAUUAGAAACCUUAUUCAGAUCCGAUUGGCCAGAUUACGAAAAACAUGAAUUUUUUGACAGAGGAUGGCAACAUGUUUCGGAUGAGUCCACUUACUAUCCUGAUACCACCACAAAUACGGCUACAUCAGAAACUGAAG